CCAGAGAACUUUCCAGAGAUGGAUUGGUGCCUUCGGGAACUCUGAGACAGGUGCUGCAUGGCUGUCGUCAGCUCGUGUUGUGAAAUGUUGGGUUAAGUCCCGCAACGAGCGCAACCCUUUAUCCUUUGUUGCCAGCGGUUAGCCGGGAACUCAAAGGAGACUGCCAGUGAUAAACUGGAGGAAGGUGGGGAUGACGUCAAGUCAUCAUGGCCCUUACGAGUAGGGCUACACACGUGCUACAAUGGCGCAUACAAAGAGAAGCGACCUCGCGAGAGCAAGCGGACCUCAUAAAGUGCGUCGUAGUCCGGAUUGGAGUCUGCAACUCGACUCCAUGAAGUCGGAAUCGCUAGUAAUCGUAGAUCAGAAUGCUACGGUGAAUACGUUCCCGGGCCUUGUACACACCGCCCGUCACACCAUGGGAGUGGGUUGCAAAAGAAGUAGGUAGCUUAACCUUCGGGAGGGCGCUUACCACUUUGUGAUUCAUGACUGGGGUGAAGUCGUAACAAGGUAAGCGUAGUGCU
rnacentral:rRNA from 1 species